rnacentral:rRNA from 1 species
UAGGGAAUCUUCGGCAAUGGACGGAAGUCUGACCGAGCAACGCCGCGUGAGUGAAGAAGGUUUUCGGAUCGUAAAGCUCUGUUGGUAGAGAAGAACGUUGGUAGGAGUGGAAAAUCUACCAAGUGACGGUAACUAACCAGAAAGGGACGGAUAACUACGUGCCAGCAGCCGCGGUAAUACGUAGGUCCCGAGCGUUGUCCGGAUUUAUUGGGUGUAAAGCGAGCGCAGGCGGUUCUUUAAGUCUGAAGUUAAAGGCAGUGGCUUAACCAUUGUACGCUUUGGAAACUGGAGUACUUGAGUGCAGAAGGGGAGAGUGAAAUUCCAUGUGUAACGGUGAAAUGCGUAGAUAUAUGGAGGAACACCGGUGGCGAAAGCGGCUCUCUGGUCUGUAACUGACGCGGAGGCUCGAAAGCGUGGGGAGCAAACAGG